UCAGGAUGAACGCUGGCGGCGUGCUUAACACAUGCAAGUCGAACGGAGUUUUAACGGAAGUUUCGGAUGGAAGUUAAGAACUUAGUGGCGGACGGGUGAGUAACGCGUGGGUAACCUGCCUCAUACAGGGGGAUAACAGUUAGAAAUGACUGCUAACACCGCAUAAUAUAGCGAAACCGCAUGAUUUUGCUAUCAAAUAUUUAUAGGUAUGAGAUGGGCCCGCGUCUGAUUAGCUAGUUGGUGGGGUAAAAGCCUACCAAGGCGACGAUCAGUAGCCGGCUUGAGAGAGUGACCGGCCACAUUGGGACUGAGACACGGCCCAAACUCCUACGGGAGGCAGCAGUGGGGAAUAUUGGACAAUGGGGGAAACCCUGAUCCAGCGAACCGCCGCGUGAGUGAAGAAGUAUUUCGGUAUGUAAAGCUCUAUCAGCAGGGAAGAUAAUGACAGUACCUGACUAAGAAGCCCCGGCUAACUACGUGCCAGCCGCUGC
rnacentral:rRNA from 1 species